AUGGGGAGAACAUGAAGUCCACACAGAGAGGACCCCGGGGGCCCAACUGGGGACUCAAACACAUGCCCUCCUUGCUGUGAGGCGACAGCGCUACCCACCACGCCACCGUGCCACCCAUAGAGUAAUUCAGUACAUAAAUAAAAAAAAAAAGUGUUGCCUAUGAUUAUGAGGUAUUGGUGGGGAGCCAUCCUACCACCUCUGAGAGAACGAGGCCAGUUCUGUUCUUUUGGACUCUCAAACACAGAUGGCUGAGGCAUCGCUGGAAAUCAAGCAAGAUCUCCUUACAAUACAGCCAAUGGGUCUAAGUCAUGCAUCCUAGUGCUGGUCACAUAGCUGGAGGAAGAGCAGACCAAACACAGCUGUGCUUACAGCAGCAGCACAAACAUCCUAUGUGUCCCUCCAAUGGCCACAUAGUGUAUGUCUGCGAAGAGCUUGUGAUGGACAGUCAGCAGAGAUGGGAGUUCUCCGAGACAUGACUGCAUUGUGACCACAUCUUUUCGGGCUGGACCUAAUGGUGCAAAACGAGGUUUAGUUGACAAAAUAAAUGGCACAGCGUAUAAUUAGA